AAGUCGUAACAAGGUUUCCGUAGGUGAACCUGCGGAAGGAUCAUUACUGAAGAAACUGACUCUGGCUGUAGCUGGCUCCUCGGAGUAGGUGCUCGCCUUGGUCGCUUUUUCUACUUUCCACUGUGCACCUUUGUAGGCUCACGACGUAUAAGUAGUAGGCUUGCUGCAAAGCUUGUCUUCGACUUGUCGUGGGAUCUACGUCUACACACACUCUUAUAAAGUCUAGAAUGUCUCUUUGUUGGUCUUUAGACCGAUAAAACUUGUACAACUUUCAGCAACGGAUCUCUUGGCUCUC
rnacentral:misc_RNA from 1 species